rnacentral:rRNA from 1 species
GCUUAACACAUGCAAGUCGAGGGGCAGCACAGGUAGCAAUACCGGGUGGCGACCGGCGCACGGGUGAGUAACGCGUAUGCAACUUGCCUAUCAGAGGGGGAUAACCCGGCGAAAGUCGGACUAAUACCGCAUGAAGCAGGGAUCCCGCAUGGGAAUAUUUGCUAAAGAUUCAUCGCUGAUAGAUAGGCAUGCGUUCCAUUAGGCAGUUGGCGGGGUAACGGCCCACCAAACCGACGAUGGAUAGGGGUUCUGAGAGGAAGGUCCCCCACAUUGGUACUGAGACACGGACCAAACUCCUACGGGAGGCAGCAGUGAGGAAUAUUGGUCAAUGGCCGAGAGGCUGAACCAGCCAAGUCGCGUGAGGGAUGAAGGUUCUAUGGAUCGUAAACCUCUUUUAUAAGGGAAUAAAGUGCGGGACGUGUCCCGUUUUGUAUGUACCUUAUGAAUAAGGAUCGGCUAACUCCGUGCCAGCAGCCGCGGUAAUACGGAGGAUCCGAGCGUUAUCCGGAUUUAUUGGGUUUAAAGGGUGCGUAGGCGGCCUUUUAAGUCAGCGGUGAAAGUCUGUGGCUCAACCAUAGAAUUGCCGUUGAAACUGGGGGGCUUGAGUAUGUUUGAGGCAGGCGGAAUGCGUGGUGUAGCGGUGAAAUGCAUAGAUAUCACGCAGAACCCCGAUUGCGAAGGCAGCCUGCCAAGCCAUUACUGACGCUGAUGCACGAAAGCGUGGGGAUCAAACAGGAUUAGAUACCCUGGUAGUCCACGCAGUAAACGAUGAUCACUAGCUGUUUGCGAUACACUGUAAGCGGCACAGCGAAAGCGUUAAGUGAUCCACCUGGGGAGUACGCCGGCAACGGUGAAACUCAAAGGAAUUGACGGGGGCCCGCACAAGCGGAGGAACAUGUGGUUUAAUUCGAUGAUACGCGAGGAACCUUACCCGGGUUUGAACGCAUUCGGACCGAGGUGGAAACACCUUUUCUAGCAAUAGCCGUUUGCGAGGUGCUGCAUGGUUGUCGUCAGCUCGUGCCGUGAGGUGUCGGCUUAAGUGCCAUAACGAGCGCAACCCUUGCCACUAGUUACUAACAGGUAAAGCUGAGGACUCUGGUGGGACUGCCAGCGUAAGCUGCGAGGAAGGCGGGGAUGACGUCAAAUCAGCACGGCCCUUACAUCCGGGGCGACACACGUGUUACAAUGGCGUGGACAAAGGGAGGCCACCUGGCGACAGGGAGCGAAUCCCCAAACCACGUCUCAGUUCGGAUCGGAGUCUGCAACCCGACUCCGUGAAGCUGGAUUCGCUAGUAAUCGCGCAUCAGCCAUGGCGCGGUGAAUACGUUCCCGGGCCUUGUACACACCGCCCGUCAAGCCAUGGGAGCCGGGGGUACCUGAAGUCCGUAACCGCGAGGAUCGGCCUAGGGUAAAACUGGUGACUGGGGCUAAGUCGUA